GGGAAGGUAGCUCAGUGGUAGAGUGCUUGCCUUGCAUGCAUGAGGCCCUGGGUUCGAUUCCUCAUCUUUAUCU
rnacentral:tRNA from 1 species